GCCACUAUUUAAAAAAUAUUCCUGAUGAUUAUCCUUCUCAAAUUAUGUCUUUCUGAAGUGGCUAUUUGGGUGCCCUGUUAAUGUAAAAUUUAAGUUAAGCAUUUUACUAUUAGAAUUCAAAGAACCAAAUGCCAUGGGUUCUUUUAUAUUUAUGAGGCAUAAUUUCAGUUUAUGUUUCAACUUGCACCUUACAUUCUUUAGCUAGUUUAUUGCUUCUUGUAAUCAUACUAUUUAUAACACUUUUCAUCCUUAGUUCUCUAACACUUUUACAUACCUCAAUUUAUUCCAGUUUACAGGCAAGUGGGUGGUAAGUAAGUAGUAAAAUCUCUCAUUUUUCAAAAAAAAACUGUUAAAGGCAUAAUGAUGAAAUGAUGCCCAGCAAAUUGGUGGCAGGGUUGGUAAUGUGAUAGUGGGGUAGACUUACUAUUGGAUGUUGUGUUCUCAAGCACUCCCAGAAAACAGCUCAUUCCUUUAACAAAGAGCUGGAUCUCAGGAAUGCAGGUGGUGCUCCACAUCAGGAAUGGCAUCUGACAGGCAGCAAGACGCAUGGAACGGAUAGAACCCCUGUUCCUUCAGGGGAGAGAAACCAGAAUGGAGCAAAUGACAGACCCUUAAAGGAAUAAAGCUCGUGAUUGGAUCAUAUCUGACUACAGUCUGUCUUCAUUAAAGAACCACCAUUAACUAUGGAACUGUUCUGAAGCCAGAGGUAAAUAAUCAUCACCUUGUCUGAGAAUCGGCCUGCUGAACAGGGCCCUGGACAUCAUCGUGCCCUACUCCUUCAUCUGUGAAAGGAAGGAGUGGAUUGACUCAUCCAAGGUCACAAAGCUUGUUAGAGAAAGUCCCUGCUCUGGCCACUGGUUUGGUUCUUUCUAAGCUGCAGUGACCCUGGGGUAGUCCUUUGGGACUGAUAUGACUUACUGACUUGGCUUUUUGAUUUUUUUUUAACCAGUAAAUAUUUCUGAACGUAUCGCUAAAAGAUAAGAACUGUAAAAAAUAAUUUAAUCAUAAUAUCAUUAAAGAACAGUUAAUAAUAAUUCCUAAAUGUCAUAAAAUACUCAAUGUUCAAACUUUAGAUGUUGAUGGAAUUUAAAGUUAAACUGAGCAAAUUUGUGUAACCUUUGAAAUAUUAUGUAAUCUUUGUGGGUCACAAAUUCCUCAUCUGUGAACUAGGGAUG
rnacentral:lncRNA from 1 species